CCAAGCUACAAAGAGUCAACGGUGGAUGCCUUGGCGUCUAAAGCCGAAGAAGGACGUGGGCGACUGCGAUAAACCAUGGGGAGCUGUCUACCAAGCAUUGAUCCAUGGGUGUCCGAAUAGGAAAACCUUGCACCCGUUAUGGGGUGUAACUCCCGUCUGAAUAUAUAGGGCGGGUAGAGGGAACCGGGUGAAUUGAAACAUCUCAGUAACCCGAGGAGAGGAAAACAAAAGUGACUCCCUGAGUAGCGGCGAGCGAAACGGGAAGAGCCUAAACCGAGCUGGUGUUAAAGCACUGGGCGUUGCCAGUUCGGGGUUGUGGGAUUUACUUGAAGGAACCAGCAAUCUUCACAGAGUUACAAAAUCGAUACGUAGCAGAACUACCUGGAAAGGUAGACCAAAGGGGGUAAUAGUCCCGUACGCGAAACGUUGAGAUCUCUGAGUAAACACCCGAGUAACGCCGGAUCCGGGAAAGCCGGCGUGAAUCUGUCAGGACCAUCUGAUAAGGCUAAGUACUCAUAGACGACCGAUAGUGAACAAGUACCGUGAGGGAAAGGUGAANNNNNNAAGCGAGUCUGAAUAGGGCGAUCAGUCGCGUGCUGCAGACCCGAAGCCGAGUGAGCUAGCCAUGGGCAGGUUGAAGCGGGGGUAAAACCCCGUGGAGGACCGAACCCACCUCAGUUGAAAAUGAGGGGGAUGACCUGUGGUUAGGGGUGAAAGGCCAAUCAAACUCGGUGAUAGCUGGUUCUCCCCGAAAUGCAUUUAGGUGCAGCGUCAGUCGUUCAGCAUCGGAGGUAGAGCACUGGAUGGGCUAGGGGGCCUACAAGCUUACUGAACCCAACCAAACUCCGAAUGCCGAUGCUCCAGAGACUGGCAGUGAGACCACGGGGGAUGAGCUUCGUUGGUCGAGAGGGAAACAGCCCAGAUCUACAGCUAAGGCCCCAAAUUCUGGACUAAGUGGAAAACGAUGUGAGAACGCUCAGACAGCCAGAAGGUUGGCUUAGAAGCAGCCAUCCUUUAAAGAGUGCGUAAUAGCUCACUGGUCGAGUGGUCUUGCGCGGACAAUGUAACGGGGCUCAAGUCCAGAGCCGAAGCUUAGAAUUGCACACUUAUGUGUGUAGUGGUAGGGGAGCGUCGAAUGUGCAGUGAAGCGGAGGUGUGAACCUACGUGGAGCGCAUUCGAGUGAGAAUGCUGGUAUGAGUAGCGAGAGAGGGGUGAGAAACCCCUCCACCGUAAGCCCAAGGGUUCCUGGGGAAGGCUAAUCCCCCCAGGGUAAGUCGGGAGCUAAGGCGAGGCCGAGAGGCGUAGUCGAUGCACAACAGGUUGAUAUUCCUGUACCGCCGCGUUCGCGUCCAUUCCAAAGUGGGGAUACUAAGGGGCUGACCUUCGGGUCGAACCGACCAGCCCUGCGGCGGAAAGCAAAGGAGGGACGGAGGAGGAUAGGUGAGCCCAGGCGUUGGUUGUCCUGGGGUAAGUGCGUAGGGCGAGGCGUAGGCAAAUCCGCGCUUCAUUAAGCCUGAGACACGAUGCCGAGCCAAUAGGCGAAGUCACUGAUUCCAUGCUCCCUAGAAAAUCUUCUAGCGAGUGAACACGGCGCCCGUACCCCAAACCGACACAGGUGGGCGGGUAGAGAAUACCAAGGUGAUCGGGAUAACCGUAGUUAAGGAACUCGGCAAAAUGCAUCCGUAACUUCGGGAGAAGGAUGGCCUUAUUAGCGUGUAGGACUUCGCGUCCGAAGCGUGAGAAGGUCGCAGAGAAUUGUGGGAAGCGACUGUUUACCAAAAACACAGGAGCGUGCUAAGUCGUAAGACGCUGUAUACGCUCUGACGCCUGCCCGGUGCUGGAAGGUUACGGGGAUCGGUUAGCCUUCGGGCGAAGCUGAGAACCUAAGCCCCAGUAAACGGCGGCCGUAACUAUAACGGUCCUAAGGUAGCGAAAUUCCUUGUCGGGUAAGUUCCGACCUGCACGAAUGGCGUAACGACUUCCCAACUGUCUCAACUACGGACCCGGCGAAAUUGAAGUACGAGUAAAGAUGCUCGUUAGCUGCAUCAGGACGGAAAGACCCCGUGCACCUUUACUACAACUUGAUGUUGGGUUUUGGUUUAGUUUGUGUAGGAUAGGUGGGAGGCUUUGAAGCAUCGACGCUAGUCGGUGUGGAGCCAACGUUGAAAUACCACCCUUUCUACGCCGGAACCCUAACCUUGGUCCGUAAUCCGGAUCAGGAACAGCGUCAGGCGGGUAGUUUGACUGGGGCGGUCGCCUCCUAAAAUGUAACGGAGGCGCCCAAAGGUUCCCUCAAGCUGGUUGGCAAUCAGCUGUUGAGUGCAAUGACACAAGGGAGCUUGACUGCGAGACUUACAGGUCGAGCAGGUACGAAAGUAGGGCAUAGUGAUCCGGUGGUUGCUUGUGGAAGCGCCAUCGCUCAACGGAUAAAAGGUACGCCGGGGAUAACAGGCUUAUUUCCCCCAAGAGUCCAUAUCGACGGGGAAGUUUGGCACCUCGAUGUCGGCUCGUCGCAUCCUGGGGCUGAAGCCGGUCCCAAGGGUUGGGCUGUUCGCCCAUUAAAGCGGUACGCGAGCUGGGUUCAGAACGUCGUGAGACAGUUCGGUCCCUAUCCGAUGCAGCCGCAAGUGAAUUGAGAAAGGUUGUCCCUAGUACGAGAGGACCGGGACGAACGCAGCUCUCGUGUGACAGUUGUCCUGCCAAGGGCAUGGCUGUUUUGCGACCUGCGGGUGGGAUAAGCGCUGAAAGCAUCUAAGUGCGAAGCCCGUUUCAAGAUAAGUUCACUCACUGGGUUAACCAGGUAAGGCCCGUGGCGAGAUCACCACGUUGAUAGGCCGGAAGUGUAAGUGGGGUAACCCAUUCAGCUGACCGGUACUAAUCGGCCGAGGGCUUGGAGU
rnacentral:rRNA from 1 species